AAAAAUAAUCCAUUCUUAGCGAAAUUAAAUGAGCGUUGAAAUGGCUUCCUGCGGCGACAUUGUGUCUUGGUCUUGUUGAGAACUACUCAUUCAGUGCUGCAAACUCGCAAGGAUAAUGGCUUGAAAAAUAUGACUUUUGUCAUGAUAGUUUUGAAAAAGUACAAAAUCAUGUCGUAAACAGUACAAUAGUAAGGAGUCGCUAUACAAACAACGUUUCGCUAAUUAAAAGAAGAAAGCAAAGCUUAAAAAGUCUAAAAUUUCAAACACAAAAUGGCUUCCCGAAUAAACUAAAUAAAGUUCACGUUAACAAUCCGGACAAAACUGCAUGCAAAAGAAUCCGAAUAACGUUAAAAUUUGUACAAUAUCUGGAAAACUAAAGAAGCAAACCAUUUUAUAGCGACAUAGACAACAGUUUAGAUUAAUAUUUAAUCGGACCUUAAUGAAGUUGAAUAUGUUGGAAAAGAGACAAAUAGCAGUGGCGUAGACAAGGGGUGGCAAGGGGGAGCUCAGCCCCCCCAAUAGGCUGAAAAACUGCCCUUGUAAAAAGAUGAAAUCCGGGUAGAAAUUAGGGGGGUGGGGAGGAUGACUACCGAUGUGACUGCCAAUCUCAUCUGUUUACCAAAUUCGAUCUAUAAAAGUUCUAAUCUUUCCUAAAUCUAACUACGGAAAAUAAUGCCUAUGGUGGUCAUUGGGUAAAAUGCGUUUAAAACUUCGAUUUAACUAUUUACAUGCCACCAAGUAAGCUUCGUUGAGCCAAAUUAAG